UCUGAUUCUGGACAUCAGAUCAGAUCGAUUUGCAUUUUAACCUUGUACAUUCUAUGACAUUUUCUUAAUUUCAUUUGACGCUUAUUCAUGCUCAUACUUCUUUUCAUUUUGAAAAUAAGAAUUCAUAUGAUUUAAUUAAGAAACAAUUAAAUAAUGACUGUCAGUCCAGUGGUUAAAGAGUAGGUUAAAUUAAUUUAUCAAAAUUAAGUCGAGAUCAAUGCUAGCUAAGUAAUUUUAUAUGUCUCCACAGCCCAAUAGAGUCUAAAUUUGAAAGAAAUUAAUUUUUACCCGUUUUUGUUCAUUUUUGUCAAUUUGUGCAUAAAUGCGAUAAUUAAGUCACUAAAAUCCCCAAAAUCUCAAAUCUUAACCUGAAAAAUAAAGUUUUUGACACUAUUCCAUCGAGUUUAAACAAACGCGCCGUACUCUUAAGGCAAAUAAAAGUCUAGUACAUAUCUAAGGACUAGAAUCUUAUCGGAUAUUUUUUUGUACGAAUAGGCCUUACCUGAAAAUAGCGUCUUUAGUUUGCGCUUUUUUCUUGCUUCUUAAUGUUUGUUUUUAAUUUGUUUAUCUGAUUAAUGCAAUUUUUGUUUGAUUUAUAUUUCGUUCUACUUGUAAAGUUCAUUCAAUAUCUUGAGGCACCCAUGAAAUGACUCUUAUUAACCUUCAAUAUUUCAAUAUUUGUACUUUCAACUUUACCCGUUUGAACACCAACAAUGUUCUCGCCCUCAGUCCAAAACCCUCAAAAACAAGUGCUGGUAGAUCAAGCUGAGUAUGGAAAGUAAUUUAGUUUCUCACGACGACUUUAUCAACUUCAAAACAUGAUUGAUCUUAAUUUAGUUGACAAAUCGCAUAUUGGUGGAUAUCAUUGAUUGUUAUUUACUGACAAGUCACCCUAAUGUUUUUAUCGUCGCCUGUUUAAUUGUCUAACAAAAGCUCUUAUCAGAUCGACAUUUUUGGCUACCACUUUGUGACACCUUCAUUAUAAUCUCGUACCUGUUGAUUUUUAUCGACGUUUUGUCACUCAACUGAUUUCUAUGCGGUGGUUUGGAUCAUUUGUUCUGGUCACUACGCACUUUGAUCUCAUUUUUGCCAUUAGCCUGAUUUGAUGGUCAAAUUGAGUGUUAUAAAACUGGUGGCCACCAAAAGGCAAUAUAUGUGCAGCUAUUUACUGUAUUAUUAGCUUCCAAUCAACCUUAUUUUGCUUGCUCCACCUACCCGCAAACACUAAUCAUAACUAAUCCAAUAGAUUACCUUUCAUGUGAUCUUUCAACAGCUAAACAGGCCGUUUUGACGACUCAGUAAAACAAAUAUCCAAAAAGUAAACAAUUUCUGUCACCAACUAUUUACAGAAAGGCAAAGAAAAAAUGUUUUAACCAUUUCUGCAGACAAAGUGUUGUUUUUACCAAAGAUUUCAUCGUGACGCCGUCGUUGGGUAUUUUGACUCAAGCAUCGCAUUAAAACAUCUUACCUUAUGUUUAUUCAAUCCCUUGAGGCACAGAACAUUUCAAGAGCCAAUGGAAAUAUCAACAACUCAAUUUUUGCCUUAUAAGAAUCUUUCACGGAUGAAAACAAUAACUUCAAGUAACGCACAAAAAAACAAAUGAUUGAAUGUGUAUUCAUCACUUGAGAAUCACUUGUCUUUUCAUUGUCUUACUCUUUAGGUUCAAAAUUCUUGUCAAUUCAAGUAAUGAUUCCCAAGCCAGAAUUGUAGGCAUUAACAACGCUGGUACAACAUGCACGCAAAGUCAAGUGAUUAAGUGAAAGUUAAUAUUGAAACUAGAUUGACCAAGCAAUUAAUCAAGACAAAAAGCUUUAAGGCCUAAACACAACCUUGUAACAAUUAAGGUUCUCAUUGCGUCGUCCAUUACCACAUUCAAAGACUGUGAUCGCACUAUUAUUAUCAUUAUGUUGAUCAUUAUUUUUCAUCAUCGUUAGUUUUUACUAUCAUUAUGAAAUAUACGGAUCGGAAAAAAACUGAAAACAGUUUUGUUGACAGUUGUGUUUGAUCAACAAAUUACAGAUUACAAGCUGACUGAACAAGUGAAAUUGUUGAACAAAAAAUAGUAAAAAUCGAACAGAUAAAUUGCUGUAAAUCGUUAAUUGUAUUAUUAUUAUUAUUAUUAUAAUCAUUAUUGUAGCUUAUCAAACGAAAGGGUAUCACUAAAAAAUCAAGGCCAGGCUCGAUAUUUAUUUGCAGGUCAAUUUAAUUUAAACUCAACAUGAAACCUUAUUUACACCUCAGGUAAAACUCAAGUAAUAGCCUCAACAACAAUAAGCAUGAUUUUAAAUUUUCCUCAUCAUUCUUUCAUUUUAUUUCAAAUUCCCGAAUUUGAUGUAUUAUUAUUUUUAUGAGAUUGUAAGUGGAAAUUAAACGAGUUAACCAAAUUUUUUAUCCAA